rnacentral:rRNA from 1 species
GACGAACGCUGGCGGCGUGCUUAACACAUGCAAGUCGAACGGAAAGGCCCUGCUUUUGUGGGGUGCUCGAGUGGCGAACGGGUGAGUAACACGUGAGUAACCUGCCCUUGACUUUGGGAUAACUUCAGGAAACUGGGGCUAAUACCGGAUAGGAGCUCCUGCUGCAUGGUGGGGGUUGGAAAGUUUCGGCGGUUGGGGAUGGACUCGCGGCUUAUCAGCUUGUUGGUGGGGUAGUGGCUUACCAAGGCUUUGACGGGUAGCCGGCCUGAGAGGGUGACCGGCCACAUUGGGACUGAGAUACGGCCCAGACUCCUACGGGAGGCAGCAGUGGGGAAUAUUGCACAAUGGGCGGAAGCCUGAUGCGGCAACGCCGCGUGCGGGAUGACGGCCUUCGGGUUGUAAACCGCUUUCGCCUGUGACGAAGCGUGAGUGACGGUAAUGGGUAGAGAAGCACCGGCUAACUACGUG